CCUACGGGAGGCAGCAGUGAGGAAUAUUGGUCAAUGGACGAGAGUCUGAACCAGCCAAGUAGCGUGAAGGAUGACUGCCCUAUGGGUUGUAAACUUCUUUUAUAUGGGAAUAAAAUGUUCCACGUGUGGGAUUUUGUAUGUACCAUAUGAAUAAGGAUCGGCUAACUCCGUGCCAGCAGCCGCGGUAAUACGGAGGAUCCGAGCGUUAUCCGGAUUUAUUGGGUUUAAAGGGAGCGUAGGUGGAUUGUUAAGUCAGUUGUGAAAGUUUGCGGCUCAACCGUAAAAUUGCAGUUGAAACUGGCAGUCUUGAGUACAGUAGAGGUGGGCGGAAUUCGUGGUGUAGCGGUGGAAUGCUUAGGUAUCACGAAGAACUCCGAUUGCGAAGGCAGCUCACUGGACUGCAACUGACACUGAGGCUCGAAAGUGUGGGUAUCAAACAGGAUUAGAUACCCGGGUAGUC
rnacentral:rRNA from 1 species